rnacentral:ncRNA from 1 species
AGAUCGGCUAUGAUAAAGAGUAGUACAAUUUGUUGUGUUAAGUAGAGAGCCUGUGGUUGGUGAAAACAGGUAGCACACUAAUUGGAAUGGACUUUUGAGCCCCUUUGCUGAACAGAUAGUAAGUAAAGGCGUGAGCAUUCACGUUAUCACUAGCGGUUUUGAUAGAAACCAUAAAGUGAUCCAGUCUAACUGGAUAAGCAGGGUGGCACCACGGUCCAUUCGUCCCUAGC